GAUGAACGCUGGCGGCGUGCCUAAUACAUGCAAGUCGAGCGAACAGACGAGGCGCUUGCUCCUCUGACGUUAGCGGCGGACGGGUGAGUAACACGUGGAUAACCUACCUAUAAGACUGGGAUAACUUCGGGAAACCGGAGCUAAUACCGGAUAAUAUAUUGAACCGCAUGGUUCAAUAGUGAAAGACGGUUUUGCUGUCACUUAUAGAUGGAUCCGCGCCGCAUUAGCUAGUUGGUAAGGUAACGGCUUACCAAGGCAACUAUGCGUAGCCGACCUGAGAGAGUGAUCGCCCACACUGGAACUGAGACACGGUCCAGACUCCUACGGGAGGCAGCAGUAGGGAAUCUUCCGCAAUGGGCGAAAGCCUGACGGAGCAACGCCGCGUGAGUUAUGAAGGUCUUCGGAUCGUAAAACUCUGUUAUUAGUGAAGAACAAAUGUGUAAGUAACUAUGCACGUCUUGACGGUACCUAAUCAGAAAGCCACGGCUAACUACGUG
rnacentral:rRNA from 1 species